rnacentral:rRNA from 1 species
GAUGAACGCUGGCGGCGUGCAUAACACAUUCAAGUCGAACGGGGCAGCAAUGCCUAGUGGCGGACGGGUGAGUAACGCGUGAGCAACCUGCCUGUGUGAGGGGGACAACAGCCGGAAACAGCUGCUAAUACCGCAUGAAGUAUUCGAAUCGCAUGGUUUGAAUACCAAAGAUUUAUCGCACACAGAUGGGCUCGCGUCCGAUUAGCUAGAUGGUGAGGUAACGGCUCACCAUGGCGACGAUCGGUAGCCGGACUGAGAGGUUGAACGGCCACGUUGGAACUGAGAUACGGUCCAGACUCCUGCGGGGGGCAGCAGUGGGUAAUAUUGGGAAAUGGGCGAAAUCCUGACCCAGCGACGCCGCGUGAAGGAAGACGGUCUUCGGAUUGUAAACUUCAAACAACAGGGAAGAAACAAAUGACUGUACCUGUUAGGAAGCCACGGCUAACUACGUGCCAGCCGCCGCAGUAACAC